GAGCAAGCUUAGAAUCGGUCAAAAAGGCACCAGAAGGAGGGAAAACAUGCAGCCCGGGCGACCAGGAGCGUAGCUGAAGCGAGAAAAAUCGACGUCCGCCGCCCGGGCGGUGGAUCUCGACGCUCGGGCGGUUCUGGUUCGUAGCCAUGGCGUCCAAAUCUGAUGCCCAAGCCCAACAUGACUCUCAAUUCACACCUGGGCGACCUCCCUACGACGCCUGAGCGUGAUUUCAUGUGGAUCAGGCCCUGUUUCUACUUUGUUUUGAUUCUUUUGGACCGGGCCUCACUUUGGAGCACUUCUGAAACUAUUUAAAGGAUCCUGGGGCUCUAGGUUUUGC
rnacentral:lncRNA from 1 species